GGCGGAUCCGUGAGUGGGAAGGUCUCGACUCGAUCGAUCAAUCAUGGGGCAUAUUGGUUGGGUGGAAUCCCUCCGUCUUUUCUCUCAUCGAGAGGGUAGUGGGCUGGUGGGCUAUCCACGUCAUACUUCAUGAUUCCAGGGGAACCGAUCCUCUUCUCUAGAAUCUACUCUCCCUGCGACCUUCCUUCCAAACGCCUAUUCUGGGCCGAUUUUUC
rnacentral:misc_RNA from 1 species